GCGGCAGCAGCGGUGGCCGAGGCAGCGGGAUCCAGACCCGGGUCCAGCAUGUCCAUGGGGGGGGUGGGGGCGGGGGGGGCGCGGGGCCCGGGGGGGGAGGGGAGGGGGGAGGGAGGGAGGGGAGGGGGCGGGCGGCCGGGGGGGCCCCGAGCCCGGCGCUCACGCCGCGCGGCAGGAGGGGACGGAGGAGACACGGGAGCCGCUCGCGCUGAUCACGGGGACAAACAGUGGGGUCAUGUGAGGAGGAGAUGCCGCCGCCGCCGCCGCCGUCGCUCCUGCAGCCGCCGCCUCCUCCUGCCGCCGCCGCCUCCGCCCGCCCGCCGACUCCGGGCUGCCGGAGGCUCCGGGACUCAGCGCGGCCGCCCCCCGCCCGCUGCACGCGGCCCUCGGGCCUCCUUCCCUGAGCAGCCGCCGCCGCCGCCGCGACUUAUUUUAACAAGGCCCGCUCUGGAUGGCCGCCGCCUCUCCCCUAGAUCGCCGGUUCGCGCGCCCGCCUCCCGGCCUGGACCCGUUCGGCGGCGGAUCGCUGCUGCAGCCGCCGCCGCUUUCUAUUUUUUCCCCCUUUUUUUUCCUCCUUUACUUGAGCUGCGCGCGCGCGGCGGCGGCGGCGGCGGCGGCGGCGGCGCGAGCCCGGGACUGACGCGCGCGGGGGGAGGGCAGCCCCCGGGGAGCGCGCGCGCUGUCUGUCUCCGAUGGCGGCGGGCACGCGCGGGCCUGGGUCUCGGCGGGGCGUGAGGUCGCCGCCACCGCCUCCCGCGGCCUCCCGCCGCCCGCCGCUGGAUGGAACGUGGGCCCGGAUGGAACACCGGGGGACCCGGAGGUGGGGCUCUGGUCGCCUGGGGGCCAGGCAGGCUGCCGGGGUUUGAAGACAGCAAAGCCUCUUCUACUAGACGCCCAUCAUAUUGCGGGUCCCCAGACCUGGAGCCUUCAUCCCGAGACUCCCGGAGUCGGUAGUGGCGGGAUCUGGGGUCCACCUGAGGGCGGUCCCUAGACCUGAAGUCAUCAUAGUGAGGAUCUCGUGAAUGUGGAAAGUCCCUGGAGUCAUCUGGGUCGUAGAGGUCAUCACGGCUACGGCUUCGUGGGGGUGCGUAGGCCCGUCCUCUCCUCCCACUACUUGGGGGAGACCUCCUUCCAGAUUCAGCAGAACCCGGGCGGGUAAGAUCAUCCAGAGCAUCCACAGAGUGGGCCCGGGGUCGCCUGGCUCCCCAGCCACUCCCUGGCCGCUCUGUUGGGGGCUCCUGCUCCCAUCUCCUGGGACUCCGGGGGGACUGUCGACCCCACUCCUCAUCCCUGAUUGGAGUGAGGGCAGGACCCCGUGAAGGCCGGGAUCGCCAGUCAUCUUCAUGGAGGGAGGUGACUUCACUCAUAGCUGUAGGGAAGGGGGAUGUCACUGACGCUGGCAUGGACCAGGGCUAGCAGCUGUCACCCCUUGGCUCAAACACUCCUUAGGUGCAGUGGUAGGGAAGGAAGGACUAUGUUCAAGGUUUUUAACAAGCCUCCUUGGGGCAGGUAGAAAGGAGCCAUGCUUCCCCCUCCCCUCAGGGAGCCCUUGGACUCCAGGUCUCCUCACCACGUUCCACACGGCCAUUGGCAGGGCCAGGUCUGGAGGGGUCAAAGUUGGCUAGUUCUUUCUCCAUGUAGUACAGGACUCUCAUGGAGUCAUCCUGCUGGCUGGCCUGGAUCCUGUAGCCACUUCGGACUUCUAGGGACAGGAUGAAGGUGAUCAGUUUCAGAAGGUGGACACGAACCCACCCCUUACUUCUACAGGCAUGUCCAACCUGAGAAUGACAAGUUCUCACCAGAGGUCACACUGUUGUCUGUAUCCCGAAGCAGGGGCACCUGGGAGCUGUGGCCAACUGGGGGAGAUUGGCUGUCAGUGGCUGCCCACCCAGAGCGAGCCUUGCAUUCCCAGCACCUCCCACCCACUCUUCCUCCCAGCCCCAGCCCCCUGUGUGUCCAGUGCCCAGUCCAGCUCCACUCCAGCCUCACCUGAGCUCCUGUCGAAAUCUCCAGGGUACCCUCCGGGGUAUCCAUUGUAGACAGGGCCCAUGGGAAUCAUGGCUGGCGGUGGGGGUGGGGUCUUGGCCGGGGAGAGGUGGGCGUAGGUGCUUGGGGCGUAGAUACUUGGGACGCCUGAUGUGGCUGCUUUGCCAGCUGCAUACACUGGGAGGGCACAGUGGGCAUGAGAAGGUGGCCAAGAGCAGUGCUGCCCUAGUGUGAUGGGGUUCUGAAGAGCUGUGGGCUUGCCUCCCCCACCCCAUUACUGCAGUGCCCCUGAGGCAGGGAACCUCAGCUAAAGUUCUCACCUGUGUGACUCUCAUGGAGCUUUCAGAAUUGGGGGGGGGGGGGGGGGGUGGCUGCACACUGGCAGUCCACAGCCCCCAGUCUGGCAGGCCAAUAUAUUUGGUUUGACCUUAUGUUGGUUUGCCAACAGUCAAAAGGAUCUACGUGAAAUCCCAACUCUCCACUACCUCAUAUAAAGUCAUGGCUGGGCUGGGCUGUGCUUAGACGACAGUGAGCAAAGCCACCUCUUUAGAUAAAGCCCACGUAUGGGGCCUGCCACUAUCCCACAGGCUGAGACCAAGUUUGAGACUGAGUUUCCCCUUGGGUGGCAGAGCCUCUGGGGGAUCCCAUGUCCACUUUGCUGUCAUGCCUGCUGGAUCAUCUUCCAUACCCAGACACAAGGAAAGGAAGUUGAUCUGACACAGGCACACAGGGGCUCAGGAGUUAACUUGUCUGCCUCAGAGGAGCAGCAAAAUAGCUCUUCUAGGCUUUCCAACUCCCAGCCCCGCCCACUCCCACCCUGCCAGCCAGCCUGGCUCUAGGCUUGACAGCUCAAGGGCAAAUCCUUGCUUCCUUCCUCUCCACAGCAGGAGGCUGGGUCUCAGGGCUGCUCUGUGGCCUAGUCACUGGGCCCUGGGCAAGUCACUUCCUCCUUGGUAUUCCACGGGCUCAGGGAGACGCCCUACACUUCUGAUUUGGUUUGGUUCAGAAACGGAAGAGUAAGUGCUCAGCCCCACCUAGGAGAGACCCUUCCAUCAGCCCAGGUGACUGAUUUGCUGUGUUGUAAUUAGCAGUCGGAGCUGCUUGCUGAUGGAUCUGCAGGGGGCUGUGGCUGGGGCUAGAGCAGUAACAUGGGGAGGGUCUGCGACAGUCCUGGGGUAGGCGGAGGAGGUGCCGCACCGUUGACCACCGCAUGGGUCUCAGUGGGUUAACUGAAAACUUGGUGGCAGUCCUUUAAAUUUCUCUUCUGAAUCUAUAAAAUGGAUUAACACUCGCCAGCUGAGCCAAAGCUCCCAACUAAAAGUGGUGAGAGUGAUACUUUGAGGAGCCAGGUUGCCCACCAUAGUACUAGCUGGCAUGGACGGAGCUGCAGCAUCCUGGGCACUCUCCCAGUCUUCCCUUCAAGCUCACAGAGGAGGGAAUGCUGCUGGCCAGAGGUCACAGUGUCUGGCAAGGCCCCGAGCUACAUACACCCUGGCCUGAAGGCAUUGCUAGUAGAGGCUAAACCAGUGUCCUACAGCUAGCAGGGAACAGCACCCAGGCCCAGCCCCACAGGCCAUGCACCUGAGUUCGCCAAAUCCCAGACUCACCCAGCCUAGUGAGCUCUGCCAUGAGCCCCAUUUUACAGAGAAGACGGAGACUAGGGCCAGGUCUCGCCAGGCUUCUCAGCCCAUCAGGUGUCUAGCCAGCCUCAAACUCCACCUACCCAAGGCCUGUUUUCCUGCCAGUGCCUUUGCAUUGUGUGCAGUACUGGCCUAGCUGUUCGCCCUCCUGAAGGACUAAGCAACUGGUGACAGCUUUGUCCCUGAGGAGGGGAGUGAGGCAGUGGUGGGAGGGAGACUAGCUUUCUUCUCCUCUCUCUUUGCUUUGUGUCCUUUGUCCCCUUCAUCUCCCAUCCUACUUCUGUUUCCGACCUUCCACAGGUACCCCCUCGGACACACUAGAUGCGCCCUUAAACACAGGCUCCACGUCACAUACCCAGUGUGCAUGUCGACGUGUGCUUUUCAAAAGUUGCUGGAAUUACACAGGGCUGUAGAUCUUGUUUUCUUAACUUUUACAUUUGAGAUUUUUGUUUUUAAAGGGAUCCUCACUUCCCUGUGAAUAAUAUCUUAUAUUGUUAGACUUUAUUUUUAAACCACGUUCGUAAGUCACACUAAAAAAACAAAAACCCUCAAUAAACAAAAAUUAAAAGUUGAAGUAAGUAAAUGAUCAUCUAAGACAGCAGCUCCUCCCUGAAUGACCGUCUCCCUACUGCUAACCGUCCAGCCUGCAGCUGGGGUGCCGUCCCAGGGUGGGCAGGUGCACCUGCCCAGCAGGGAGGCUGCGUGAGGGCGGCGAGAGGAGCACUUACGGGCCUCCGGGCAGCAGCACUUCUCCGGGCAGCAGGGGCACCUGACGUAACAGCAGCAGGUAUGUGGGCAGCACUGACACCAGCAAAUGCCCAGGAGGAGAAAGACAAGGAAGACAGCCAGGCACACCACGACCACAAAGAGCCAGUCUGCAGAGAGACCAGAACAGGCCCUGAGCCGGGAGGCCAGAAAACAGCAGACAGGAACAGAAGGGCUCUGCAGGGACAGCGCAGAGCCAAACAUGGGCGGGAGACCUGCAGCCCUCCUUAGUCUCUGCCAGAGUGUGGGGCACAGUAGCAGAGGGAUACCUGACCCUCUACAAUUGGGUCCAGUCCCCAAAUUAGGGAUCCCCCUGGCUUCAAGUGGAGAAGGCAGAAAACAAGAGGUAACGUGGCCUAAGGAAGAUGGAGAGCGAGCCACGGCCCAGACCCAAACCCCUGAAGAACACAGCUGGCGCCAGUCACAGGAGCCCCUGCCUACACCCCAGGUCCCUCCUCAGCCAGCCCAGCCCACCUCCAAGCCCAGAGCUAGGCCACUAGAUGCCACAAGGUGAGAUGGAGUUAGUGGGGUUCACAGCGAACAGUGAUUAAGGGUUGCGGAGAAUGCCAGAGAGAAGCCCCACUGAGGACUCCACCCCCAUACCUUCCAUGGGCCCCGCCUGAAAAUCAGGUAAGAGUUCAGUCACCCCAGAGGUCCUGCCUGGAGGGACAAAAGAGAACAGGAGAUUAUGCCAGCCAGAGCCAGCCCAGGCAGCCCUGUCCCUAAAAAUGCCCAGCUCCAGGCUGCUAGUAGGUGUGCCCUGCAGCAGAGCAGGCAGGGGAGAGGCUGGUGGCCUAGCAGGGACCUGGCAUGUGGUGCCUGCCCCCACCCCUGCUUACAGGUGGGUGCUGGUGGGUGUGAAGGCUGCCAUCACAUACCCACCUGCUCUCAGCCCCAGCGGGUUCCAACACACACCCCAUGGGGGCUGGAAGGGUUGACCUCAGCCCAGUCACUCUCCCGCCUCCAUGGGUCCUACCAGCAACAAUCUGUUGAAUCAAGCAGAGUAUGCCCAGCACACUAGGACCCAGCAAAAUUUUUAAUUUUUUUUUAAAUCUGAAGAAAAAAACUAGUAAUACUAAGUAUAUAAAAAUGGAGUCUUCUUUUUUUUUUUUUUUUUUAAUGGAGGAAGGGGCCUUCAAAGGCAAAAAUACCUAUGGCCCAUGAAAGUCAUAUUGAUCCUGAUUGUGACCCACCAGGGUUCCAUCCUCCGUCUAUGCAUUCUGUCACAUGUGCAUGUGUCCUAACCCAGUCUGUACCUUCCCUCAGGUGCCCCGGGAGCUCUGUGCCCUACGAGCAGUGCAUCAUGGGAGCCUAUGCAUGUGCACAGCAGCUCUCACAGAGAGCACGCUGGGCACCUGGGCUCUGACGAGGGGGCAGAGCAUACCACAAAGACCAGCCCCACUCACCAAGGACAAUGAGCUCUGCAUAGGCCUCGUUGUUCCCCUGGAGAUCCUGGGCCGACACCACGGAGCAAUAGUACACACCACUGUCCCCCCAAGCCGUCUGCUCGAAUGUCAGAAGUCGGGGCCCAACUGAGAGGUGACCCAAUCCACCUGAAGCGACACCGCUCGUUGCCGGCAGAGCCGCGUCGGGUUGACUGUGGGGCCAGUGCUUGCAACUCAGAACCAUCCUCCCCACCUCUCCAGCACAAGCAGUAACUGUGAGUGUCCUCACCCACAGCAUCCAGCACACAGGGGCACAAUACUCUCCAGUGCUGAAGGAAUAAAAGAACUGGAGCCCCUUCCUCAAAGACUCAGGGCUGGUUCCUUCCCGUUAAUCAAGCCUCAGCAUGGAGGAGUGCUCCCUGGCCAUCCCACCCCCUGUGGCUCUCCUGCCCAACGGGCGAAGUUCAUCACCCAGGUGCCCACUGCCCACCUCUGCCCCUGUGAGAACUUGCCCUGCAUGCAGAAACAAGUCUGUCUUGGUUGCUGCUGGCCAGACACAGGGACUGGCCAAGGAGCAGAAAAGUACCCCUCCUCUCCUCAUGCUGACCUUCCUUAGCUUCUGUUGUCUGUUCCAGUAUUCUGGGCACAUGGCUACACUCAAAUAGACACUUGAUUCGUUCAUUCAACAUUUAACAAAUAACCGCUGGAUACAGCUUAUAUUCCAGGCUCUUUUGAGGCACCUGGCAUACUACAAAACAGUGGUUCUCAAAAUGAUCUGUGUACUGUGAUUCCUGGUUCCUCAAGACCCUUUCUGGGGAUCCUUGAAGUUAAAGUUAUUUUCAUAAUUACUUGCCUUUUCCCCUUUAUCUCUUAUAAGUGGGCAUUUUCAGAGGGCAGGUGACAUUUGAGCAAUAUCACAAUAGACUGACACAGUGUUGAGGACCCAGCUUCUUCUAUCCAGUAAGACUUUCAAGAGACUUUGCAAACAGAAAACAAUGCCACUCUUCUCAUUAAAAAAUAUUUUGUUUUGGAAAAUGUAGUUACUUUUUCAUAAAGAUAUGUUAUUUUAAUAAUGAGUUCAUUGUUGUACUUUGAAAUGUUUUUAAAGUUCCUCUUAGUUUGUUUGCUAUUAAAAAAAAAAAAAAAAAAAAAA